rnacentral:rRNA from 1 species
GACGAACCGUGCGACCGUUGUUCGGAAUCACUGGGCUUAAAGGGCGCGUAGGCGGUCUGCCAAGUCCGGGGUGAAAGCCCCCAGCUCAACUGGGGAAGUGCCUUGGAUACUGGCGGACUCGAGGGAGGCAGGGGUUGUGGGAACUUCCGGUGGAGCGGUGAAAUGCGUUGAUAUCGGAAGGAACGCCGGUGGCGAAAGCGCACAACUGGUCCUCUUCUGACGCUGAGGCGCGAAAGCCAGGGGAGCAAACGGG